rnacentral:rRNA from 1 species
AGUGAACGCUGGCGGUAGGCCUAACACAUGCAAGUCGAACGGCAGCACAGUAAGAGCUUGCUCUUACGGGUGGCGAGUGGCGGACGAGUGAGGAAUACAUCGGAAUCUACUUUUUCGUGGGGGAUAACGUAGGGAAACUUACGCUAAUACCGCAUACGACCUACGGGUGAAAGCAGGGGAUCUUCGGACCUUGCGCGAUUGAAUGAGCCGAUGUCGGAUUAGCUAGUUGGCGGGGUAAAGGCCCACCAAGGCGACGAUCCGUAGCUGGUCUGAGAGGAUGAUCAGCCACACUGGAACUGAGACACGGUCCAGACUCCUACGGGAGGCAGCAGUGGGGAAUAUUGGACAAUGGGCGCAAGCCUGGUCCAGCCAUACCGCGUGGGUGAAGAAGGCCUUCGGGUUGUAAAGCCCUUUUGUUGGGAAAGAAAAGCAGCAGGUUAAUACCCCGCUGUUCUGACGGUACCCAAAGAAUAAGCACCGGCUAACUUCGUG